GUUAGCUCAGGGCCUUCCCUCCCCCUCACUCUCACUGUGCUAUCUGAAACGGGGUCAGACUGCUGGCGGAAUCCAGGCCAUUUCUGCCUUUGUCUUUGUAACAGUGUGCUGUCUGAGUCUGCCCGCUAGAGGAAGAGAGAGAGCCGUGAUUCAGAGCCCCAGCCCUCCACUUUAACACAGAAACACAGAGACAAAGGAGCUGUUUACUGCUUUAACUCACAAAGAGAAACGAAUUUCCAGCUUUGCGGACAUAAAAAUCUGCUGAGCUGUGUCAGCUUACCUGCCCAGACCCUGCUUCACAUCUUCACAAUAAACCAGAGCUGUGAAGUGACCACCCUGAGUCCGGUAACAAUCAGUAUGAAGAAGCAUCAGUCUGCUGAUCCUACCUCCUCCACAUCCCCACUCCAGCCAGAGGAGAGGAGUGGAGAGCAGAACCUGACCGAGAGGCAUGAUGCUCCCUUAAGAAGACAAGACAUCACUCCUUAUUACAUGCUGUGGAGCGCGCGGAAAGGGAAUAA
rnacentral:lncRNA from 1 species